CAAAAAUUGCUACUAAGUUAACCUUUAAGCCACAUAUGCCAGGUUAGAAUGCAGUCACCAAUCACCAUUGCUUUAAUUCUCCCAACUUACAUGGCGCUGAGCCACCUGAACUGAAAGUUGGAUGAAACUCUCCUUUGAAUAAGGCUCAUCACAGGACUUAAUGUAGCCUGGUUCCUCAGCCAAUGCCUGCUAAAUACCAGCUUGGACCCCAACAAGGAGAAAAAAGGUCCAAACUCUCCUUUUGGCUAAUGAUUUGAUUGUCAAACCAAGAUGUCUCAAACCUAUAAUUCUAGUUUUAAUUGACUGCAUUCUGUUUGAAAGAGCAAUAGCUUCAGGGGAGGAGAGUAAGAACUUUUAUUAACCACAGAGUGUGUAUUGGGCCCUGGACAUGUCAGGUCAUUUGGUCCUUAAAACAGCCCUGGGAAGGGCAGUAGUGGCUCUGCUUCACAGAAUAGCACCCAGGGACCCCAGGAAACCAGUGGUCACCCAACGCCAUAUAACUAGCAAAGAGUGGAAUCUAGUCUGAACUCAGAUGGGCUUAACUCCUUUUUUCCUCUAAGAGGCAUGUUUUUCCUUGCCAACCUCAACAAUGAGAGAAAAAGAGGCAGAAAGAUAAUCUAAAAAAUGGAGUGACUGCUUACUUAAGAGGCUGUAACAAGAUUGGAGCUUGGUGGCUAUUGCUAGAGUCUCCAGGGCAGGGUCCUUAGGAAGAUUCCUAAAUUGCUGACCGUGACUCAUUCAGUCCUUUUUGUUGCCUGAUUUAUCAUCUGAUCCUAAGACUGUGCUGUAACUUUGGGGUGAAAAAAACAAAGCUAAGAAUCCAUACAGUAUUCACAGCUCCCAUCUAAUGCCUUGAUUCCUGAGAUGCCUACUUUAUACAGAAUGGGGGAAACGCAUACAAGGAAGUUGCAUGCCGUGAUUGAACAACACUCCAAAUACAGCUUCCGACUUGUGCCAGGACAGACUAAUUCAUGUGGACUCAGAGGAGCCUCAGGGACAGAUUUUUGGAAAAGCAGGCCUUGGGGUUCUGGAAGCUUAGUGCUCUUACUACAGAGCACUCCUGUUCCUGUCUCCUCUUCCCUCUGGAAAGAGUCCCGGGGUUGCUGGAGUCGGGGUCAAAUGAGGGGUCAGUAGUAGCAAAGGUGAUGACACUCCCUCAUUCCUCCGCCUAGAGAACCUUCUUAGCCUUUCCCCAGACAUGUUCUCUAGUAAAGAACUCCUUCCACUUCAGCCUUGCUGGGAUCCACAGAUUUCAAAAUGAAGAUUUUGGUUCCGCCUUGUCCAAACACUGAGACCGUUUUCGUUGCAGACUGGGAGCUGGCAGCGGCUCUUCAGAGCCAGGAUAUGUAGAAUUCCUUAAAAACAUGCAGCAUGGAGCAGCAUGAAAACCUUAGAAAUGCUUUUGAGAAUCAACUUAAUCUUCCAGCUCUGAAACCAGCUACGUGAUGAUGGGGGCUUUUGUUUUCUUUGCAGAGCCUGGGCUCCCUUUGAGAAAACUGACAAAUUUGUAAAUGUGGUAAAGAUAACACUUUUCAAUAAGCUGUUAUUUCUCCCUCUUUAUUAUUUGGGUCAAAGAAUUUUUUGAAUUCAUUCCAAUUCUUUUCACUUUGUGUAUCAGGAAAAACAGUCAUAGCAAGAAAGACUUGACCAAUAUAUUCUUUUCAUAUCACAAAUUCUCAAAGUUUUUUUUUUCUGAGAGGAAUGAAAGUAAUUUUAUUCGUUGUUGGGUUAUGGUCAAGUACUUGCAAAUGACAUGUUUUUUUCCAUGAAAUAAGCGCUUUCUGAUCUACCUGAUUGCAAUACUUAAAAUGUCAUGCAUCCAGUGGCGUCCCGUCUAAAAUGAUUUGUUGUUACUGCUAAAGAUGAUUUUACAAAUAUCCCUCCAAGUGACAACAGAAAGCAGACAUGAACUGAUUUUUUUAAAUUAGAAUUUUGUUAGCCUUAUGUUUUGGAUUAAGAAAGAGAUGUGGUCAGUUAAUGGUUUUAUUCCAUUUUUAUUGCAAACAAGAAUGAAAAAGAGAAAAAAUAUUUCCACACUGGAUUCCCCUUGAAUGAAUUCAAGCAAAGUUCAUUACUAGUGAUUUUGCAUCUGGCAAAGGUGUAAAAUUGUGCCGAUAGAGGUGUCGAUUUGCUCCAAUUCAGCAGGGCCCAGCCCUUUGGUGGGCAGUGCUGGCCUGGGAGAAGUGGCCUUCUCUGCACAUCUGUUAAGUCCCAGGGGCUUCUGGGGUUUGGUCAGAAGCUCAUGCUAAAAACGAUCUUUUUCCCCACCAGAUUCUAGGUAGAAGAGGUAUGUCAUCCACUAUAAACGAUGACUGGAUCAUUUCAGACUCUGACAAUACGAGCCACGUCUUAGGACUAUGCAGUUCUUCCUGACAUUUCCUUCCAUGAACAAUUGCACACAAUUCCACACACUUGUGUUUGCCAUUCAGUGUUCUUCAUACACGUGGGACCUGCCAAAAUCUUUAACGCGCCCUGCAACUCUGCUUCUGACAGGUCCCUCAUCGCCCCAGGCCCCCGUUUCCUCCUCUGCAAAUGAGGGAAAUGCUCUAUAACUCCUUCCAACCUCUUCUUCCAUCUCUAGAAUAUUCCAUUAAGAGGACAGGGUUAAGAAUCAUUGCUUCGAAAGAAACUCUAAGGUUUCUAUCACCUGAGGGCAAAGGUGGGCCUGCAAGUCAUUUAUUGUCUCAAAAAAUUAAGACCUUUCUUUAAACAUAGACCUACCAUAUGAUCCAGCCAUUCUACUCCUAGCUACUUACUCAAGAGAAAUAAAAACAUGUCUGCACAAAGACUUGUACAGGAAGCUUUAUUCCCAAAAACCCCAAACUGGAAACAACCCAAAUGCCCAUUAAUAGAUGAAAGAAUAAGCAAAAUGUUGUACAUCCAUACAAUGGAUUACUAUUGAGCAAUAUAAAGGAACAAAAUGACACAUGCAAUAACAUAAAUGAAUCUCACUGUGCUGAAUGAAGGAAGCCAGACACAAGGCUACAUACUGUAUAUUCUGGUUAUGUAAGAUUCUGGAGAAUGCAAACUAAUCUACUACAGUUACACAAGGCAGGUCAGUGCUUGCUUGUGGACUGCAGAAGGGUACAAGGGAUCUUUUUGUGGAGGGAAAUGUUCUGUAUUUUGAUUGUGACGGUAGUUUCACAGGUGGAUGCAACUGUCAAAGCUCAUCAAAAUGCGCACUUUAAAUGAAUACAACUCAUGUAAAUUGUUUCUCAAAGUUAUCAGGGAAAAUUGUUUUGUAAGCUCUUGACUGUUCAAUCUGAGGCUUGAAGAAAAUACAUAAUGGGCAGCGGAUAAAGUUUUGAGGGGCCAUGAUAUCAAAAAAGGAUUGAUAAACCCAAAAUAUUCUUAAACAUUCUGGAAAGCCCUUUAGUUUCUGGGCAGCAUGUAUGAAUUUGUAGGAAAAGAAUUUAUCUUCUGAUUUCAGGUAAAGCCCAGAACAAAGAACUGCCUUGGGAGCUAAGCAAGGUAUGUUGCUCCACGAACAAAGGCAAGUACAUGGUGGUGCGCAGCUUCCUGUCUUUGCAGCAAGUCAGGCUCCUUCAUACCGAUUUCUUCCUUCACUCUGCCCGAGGUGGUAUUUACGGGUCUACUCAGGAGUGGAUUCCAUUCUACUUUUUGAAUGUCUAUUCAGAAAAACUAGAAAGCUGUAGGGCAUAUUCUUCCUUUAUAGGCUACAUGGGGCGACCGAUUUUAGUUGGCACCACUUGUAGAAUCACAGGAUGUGAGAUUUGGAAGGAACCUCAGAGAUUCUCCUGUCCAACUUCCCAAAGGAGGAAGCUGAGGCCCAGAGAACGUAAGUGACCCGCCUGAGAACACAAAGCACAAGCAGGACUAAAAAUCACUGCUCUCCGGGAGUCUCUCCACUUUAAUACAGUGGCUCCUCACGUAUUGAAAAAGUACAACCCAAAAUCUCUAGCCAGAUCCUAAAUCCGAGCUUAAUUAGCCUGCUGCAUCUUUAUUUUUUUUAAUUUUUAAAAAUUUUUUAUUUUUUUUAAUGAAAGCUAUAAAGUGGUUGGAUUCUAGCUGAGAGAAAAGCAGCAAAUUCUCAGUUCUGGCCUACUGUGAGGAAAUGUAAGGAGCAAACCUCGGCACGGGAAUGAAUGCAAGGCAUUUAUGAUUCUUGUAGAACUUGGCAGCAAUUACAAAAGCCUGUUCCAUGGUGGAAAUGACCAUGUUAAAUUUCCAUUCUUAUUUGCAUUUGCAGAAAUAGAAUAAAAUUAUUUCUUGGGUAGAAGCAUUCUCUGUGACUGGGAAGUGCUUCUUGUUCGUUACCGCUCCUUUUACUCUUCAUGUAUUUCCCCUUGAUCGCUGUUGAAAUAGCAGAUAUUUCAUACAGAGAGAACAUUCAUCACAGCAGAUUCUUGACUGCAGUUGAGUCAGAUUCUGCCGUCAGAAGCAGCCACUGCCAGGGAGUAAAUUAGGCCUUUCUGGAAGCUCCACUACCACCCAGUCUAAUAUGGCUUUAAUUUCCAAACUACAGUUUGGCAGUUUGGCAACCUCCUCUUCUUGCAUCUGACCCCUUGGCGCCUGGGCAGGCAUGGGGUUUCACGGGGCCGAGACGUCCCCUCGGGGGUCGUGAGGUUGCUUCCCAGUGGUAUCUGGAUGGCACUUGCCAGCUGGUGCUGGUGCAGGGGAGACAAAGAUGAUAGCGGUGUAACUUAGCAUGGCCUUGGCCCUUUGGUUGGCCGGUGCACUGGUAACAUGUUUUGCUCUUCCCGCAGACUCUGCAGAAGGUCUGUUGUAGAGUUUGGUAGAAUGACUAGGACAGUAACUUCUGGAAGAAGACUUCGGAUUGUUGGAAUCACCCCAAGCCGAAGAAGCAACAUCGGCGGCCCCUGCUUCUGUGGGGGGGCUCCUGGAUCACCAAGCGACGGCACGUCCUGGGGGUGUCGGCAGUGCUGGGGCCCACCCUUCCCCGUGGUGGUGUUUCCUGGGUCACUCUGUCUUGUCCUGAGGGCCAUGCUGUGCCGUGGCUGCGGGACACACCUUUCGUGUGUGGGCACCGUGGGUGGGCAGGUCUGACCCUGUACCCAGUGCCUCCUGCCACUGAGCACCGUGAGGGACAGGCCCCCUCACACUGCCGACACCUGUGCGUCCACGAGGGCAUCUGUCAGCGCUGAAUUCCUUGUUGAGCAAGUGGAUAAUAAGACUUCUCCACUCUGGCUUCUGCCCACACUGCUCUGCCAAAAGUGCUCUCUCCAAGGUAACCAGUAACCUCUAUGUCGUCCUUUCUGGGGAACAUUUCUGAGUCCUCAUCUUCCUGGAAUGCUCCUUAGAGGACCAUCUGAGAAUCCUUCUACUGCACACGGAAGAAAAACCAACUCAAACUGUGGCAAACAAAGCAGUCUGCCUUUCCACAGAAAGUCAAAAUUGAAAUUCUGACUUUUUCAGCUUCACCCAGUUCUUUCUACAAAGAGUAAACAUGAAGACUCCUGUAGCAAAAAAAUGAAGUUUCAACCAGUUUACAGAGCUCAGCAAAGGUCAGGAUGAACGACGGAAUCACAAAGGACUAAGGAAUUCCACAGGGCCUAGAUUUCCAGGAGAGGUUUUCUCCUGUCUUGAAACUACAGAAGUAAAACCUGAAGUUAUGAUCCAGGCUAUAACUGAGCUGUAUAAUAAAUAAUGAACCUCAGAUUCAAUGAAAUAUAACAGACCUCAUCAUCCAAUACAAAAGCUGUAUUACUGAACACUACUGAAGAAAAGUAAGACCAU